rnacentral:snRNA from 1 species
AUGCUCACUUGGGCAGCACAUAAUACUAAAAUUGGAAUGAUACAGAGAAGAUUACCAUGGCCCCCGUGCAAGGAUGGCACGAAAAUAAAAUAAAAAAAAAGAACUAAC